AUUGAACGCUGGCGGCAGGCUUAACACAUGCAAGUCGAGCGAGCGGCGGACGGGUGAGUAAUGUCUGGGAAACUGCCUGAUGGAGGGGGAUCACUCCUGGAAACGGUAGCUAAUACCGCAUACCAUCCGAUGUUCCCAGAUGGGAUUAGCUAGUAGGUGGGGUAAAGGCUCACCUAGGCGACGAUCCCUAGCUGGACUGAGAGGAUGACCAGCCACACUGGAACUGAGACACGGGCCAGACUCCUACGGGAGGCAGCAGUGGGGAAUAUUGCACAAUGGGCGCAAGCCUGAUGCAGCCAAGCCGCGUGGAUGAAGAAGGCCAUAGGGUUGUAAAGCACUUUCAGCGAGGAGGCGUUACUCGCAGAAGAAGCACCGGCUAACUCCGUGCCAGCAGCCGCGGUAAUAC
rnacentral:rRNA from 1 species